CCUUCGAUAGCUCAGUUGGUAGAGCGGUGGACUGUAGUUUGUUCGAUGUUGUAGAGUAGAUAUCCAUAGGUCGCUGGUUCAAAUCCGGCUCGAAGGA
rnacentral:tRNA from 1 species